rnacentral:lncRNA from 1 species
UUGAAUGAAUGAAUGAACAAAAAUAAUAUGAAACUACACUUCAUGUUUUCUAGGAAAUGUGCCUGAAAUCAUGAAAAGAUAUGAGAAAUGUGAAAAAAUAUUUCUUUUCUAAGCAAAUACAGAAUCUUGAAAUGUUUGUUAAUGCUGAAAUAAUGAAGCGAUGAUUAAAACCUCAGAAGAAAAUAAACAAAAUAUCUUACCCAGCUGAAAAGAAUUGAAACCAGACAUCAUUAAGGAUUUGAAAAGGAGGAAGAGUACUCCAGGGUAGACUUGAACUACAGACAUGAAGGAAUACUCAUUUUUGUUCGGAACCAGACUGCUCACAUCCCCGGAAUUGGACUGUUUCAACUUGUUGAAUGGAAUGCUGACUCUGUCAGUGGAUGGUAAAACUGAUGAUUCCAAAGGACCCCAAAACCCAGGGCAGUCUUCCUUCUGGCCUGGAGUAACAGGAGCUCCUCAUUCCUCAUAGAGUUGAUUCACAUUUUCCCAUUGACUUGGAAGCGGCAGAGACUUGAUUCCAUGGGGAGGAGGAUGCCCCAAGAGAGAGGAAGCCCCCAUGAUGCUGCCUCUCAGUGAAAUUGGGAGUUCAUUC